rnacentral:lncRNA from 1 species
CACCUCAGCCCCUCAAAAUCUUUCCUUCUGGGACUUCCCCAGUAAUAAACUCUUACAAGAAGGUAUAAAAAGAACAGCUGCUCCAAGCAGAGCAACUCCCCUGGCUACCACAGGAGGCUAAGGCACUUGGCAGGAUUGAACUCGGGACCUUGCGCUUGCAAGGCAGGCACUGGAACCACUGAGCUAAAUCCCCAGCCCUCAGAUGUUUAAUUUCUUUGCUCUGUCCUUCAUUUGACAUGUACCCAACACCUAUUAUGUACCAACUCUAUACUUAGACACUGGAAGAACAGAAAUACAUAGGACAUACCUCUUAAGGAGCCAUGGUCUGAAAUGCAAACAUGAGAACAGUAGUAUAAGAUAGGAGACAAGCACUGAGGGAGGACAGUAAAAAGAAUGACCUAACUUUGCCUGGAGAAACAUGGUAAACUUCACAGAGGAGGUGGCAUUUGAGGGCUAGAGGCUAUGGCCCUGUCUUCAGAGAGAGCUUUGUGUCCCACAGAAGGCUCCAGGCUUUGUUGAAGACCAAGGGAUUUGGGGAAUGCUUUCUGCACUGACACUGAGGAUAAGAAUGUGGGCAAACAUUG